rnacentral:rRNA from 1 species
UAGGUCGACCCGCUGAAUUUAAGCAUAUCACUAAGCGGAGGAAAAGAAACUAACCAGGAUUCCCCUAGUAACGGCGAGUGAAGAGGGAAUAGCCCAGCACCGAAGCCUGCGGUAGUUUUACUGCUAGGCAAUGUGGUGUUUGGGUCGGCUCGCGGGAUUGCCACUCCACUCGAAGUCCAGCACUGAGUAUGGUUCCCUGGAUUUGGCCCAGAGAGGGUGAAAGGCCCGUGCGAGUGGAGGUUCAGACAUGUGAGGCAAUUCACCAGGUCGACCUUCGAGUCGGGUUGUUUGGGAAUGCAGCCCAAAGUGGGUGGUAAACUCCAUCCAAGGCUAAAUACAAGCACGAGUCCGAUAGCGAACAAGUACCGUGAGGGAAAGUUGAAAAGUACUUUGAAGAGAGAGUAAACAGUACGUGAAACCGCAUAGAGGUAAACGGGUGGCGUCAAGCUGCAAGCCUAGAGGAUUCAGUUGGUCGGUGUGUAUGCGCGCCUGGCGCGUCCGUCGGACAGAUAGUCCACUGCGAAAAGGUGGGCCUUGCCUUCUUUCGGGAGGGUGAGGAUCGGUGUCCCGGGAGGUUGCCGGAGCCGGCUGUUUUGUCUGAUUUGGAUGGAUCGGCCAAUGCACUUCCUCUAUUUGGUGAGCACCACGACUGGUGGAACUGCCAGUCUGCCGUAGUCAAGUCGAGUUUGGUGGAUGGCUCCUCUCGGGGGGUUGUCGGCUGAGCUUCGAUCAUCACAGGCGAAGUCAGUGAGCGGCGCGUGUAAGUCUCGGCUUGCACACGUGUUAUCGAGCACUGGUCGUGAACGGGUCUGUCUGUCGGUGGUGUAGUGACCGGCGGAUGUCCUGGUGGGCUACGGUGGUAUGAAUAACUGUGCAGGGCACCAGGGUUGUCGGUCUCUAGUUUCCGGCUCGUGCGCACACUGCAUGUGGGCGUGGGGUUGUCACUGUAGGCUGCCAAUUGCUGGGUCUGAUCGUCGUGUUGCCUGCGCAAAGUGGGUCCGGCGGUGGUCUAGUGUUGGAUGGUCUUGCAUGUGAUGCUUCCUGUGCGAGUCGGCGUGGACCAAACAGUCUGUGGUGUUGUGGUAGACGAGCUACCCGACCCGUCUUGAAACACGGACCAAGGAGUUUAUCAUGCACGCGAGUCAAUGGGUCCAUCGAAACCCAAAGGCGCAGUGAAAGUGAAGUCUCGACUUGUUCUCGAGAUGUGGUGAGAUGCCACUGUUUCUCGCACCUCGCCUAGCACUAGGCACAAGAGCAGUGGCCGCAUCACCGGCCCGUCCCAUGAUGUGGUCGUUGGAAAGGCGUGGAUUUCGGUCUGCGUUGGAGCCGGCGCGUCAUCGGGGCGGAGCAGGAGCGUGCACGAUAAGACCCGAAAGAUGGUGAACUAUGCUUGCGUAGGUUGAAGCCAGAGGAAACUCUGGUGGAGGACCGCAGCGAUUCUGACGUGCAAAUCGAUCGUCAAACGUGAGUAUAGGGGCGAAAGACUAAUCGAACCAUCUAGUAGCUGGUUCCCUCCGAAGUUUCCCUCAGGAUAGC